GGGAAGGUGGCUCAGUGGUAGAGUGCUUGCCUUGCAUACAUGAGGCCCUGGGUUCGAUUCCUUACCACCACA
rnacentral:tRNA from 1 species